rnacentral:tRNA from 1 species
GUCAGGAUGGCCGAGUGGUCUAAGGUGCCAGACUCAAAGUGUGAAGACUUCCUGGUUGUCUGUUGUUCUGGUCUCCAAUUGGAGGUGAUGGUUCAAAUCCCUGUUCUGACA